GAUGAACGCUGACAGAAUGCUUAACACAUGCAAGUCUACUUGAAUUUGGGUUUUUUAACUUAGAUUUGGGUGGCGGACGGGUGAGUAACGCGUAAAGAACUUGCCUCACAGCUAGGGACAACAUUUGGAAACGAAUGCUAAUACCUGAUAUUAUGAUUAUCAGGCAUCUUAGAAUUAUGAAAGCUAUAUGCGCUGUGAGAGAGCUUUGCGUCCCACUAGCUAGUUGGAGAGGUAACGGCUCACCAAGGCGAUGAUGGGUAGCCGGCCUGAGAGGGUGAACGGCCACAAGGGGACUGAGACACGGCCCUUACGCCAACGGGAGGCAGCAGUGGGGAAUAGUGGACAAUGGACCAAGAGUCUGAUCCAGCAAUUCUGUGUGCACGAUGACGUUUUUCGGAAUGAAAAGUGCUUUCAGUUGGGAAGAAAAAAAUGACGGUACCAACAGAAGAAGUGACGGCUAAAUACGUG
rnacentral:rRNA from 1 species